rnacentral:misc_RNA from 1 species
UCUCCGUUGGUGAACCAGCGGAGGGAUCAUUACAGAGUCGUAAAACACUCCCAAACCCAUGUGAACUUACCAUUGUUGCCUCGGCAGAAGUUAUAGGUCUUCUUAUAGCUGCUGCCGGUGGACCAUUAAACUCUUGUUAUUCUAUGGAUAUCUGAGCGUCUUAUUUAAUAAGUUAAAACUUUCAACAACGGAUCUCUUGGUUCUGGCAUCGAUGAAGAACGCAGC